AACUCCAAGAUGAUAUAGAUGGAGGAAAGCCACUGAAUUUGAUAAUUCAUGUUUAAGUCAUAGCUUUCAGGAUAGUAUCUGAGUAAUCUGAGAAGGAUUAAAAACAAAUAUAUUCAUCAGCAAAUUCGGAAAGUUAGGAAAAGAAUACAGGAUGUUAGGAAAGACAACAUAAUGAAUGAGAGGAAAGUAGAAGUAAAUAAUUGAUAAAACAGAAAUUAAUGAGCUAGAAAACAGAACUAGCAAAAAGUGUACCUUAAAAAUGAAUAAACUACCACCUAAUCUAGUUAAGAAAGGUAAAGUACCAAUACAUAUAAAAACAAAUAAACCACCACACAUAAAGACGAAAUUAAAAGAAACUUAAUCUACCCCAUCCAACUCUACACAAAAUCAAAAAUCCAGAUUAAAAGGAUAAUUUUCUCUGGAUAUAUAAUUUACCUAAAACAUCCCCGGAUGAUAUUAUCGUAUAUUUGAAAAACAUACACACUGGGCAGAAUGGCCAUCUACAAAUAACAGAUGUGGACAAAAGGGAAGCCUCCUACACUGUUGGUGGGAAUGUAAAUUGGUACAAUCACUAUGGAAACAGUAUGAUGACUCCUCAGAAAACUAAAUAUGGAACUACCAUAUGAUCUGGCAAUCCCUCUCCUGGGAGUAUAACCAGACAAAACUAUAAUUCAAAAAGGUACCUGCACCCCUGUGUUCACUGAAGCACUAUUCACAGUAGCCAAGACACAGAAACAACAUAAAUGUUCAUGGACAGAGGAAUAGACAAAGAAGAUGUGGUACGUAUACACAAUGGAAUACUACUCAGCCGUAAAAAGAAUGAAAUAAUGCCAUUUGCAGCAACAUGGAUGCAACUAGAGAUUAUCCUAAGUGAAGUGAGUCCAAAAGAGAAAGACAAAUACCGUAUGAUAACACUUAUAAGUGGAAUCUAGAAUGUGGCACAAAUGAACCUAUCUACUAAACAGAAACAGACGCACAGACACAGAGAACAGACCUGAUGUUGCCAAGGGAGAAAUGACCUACACCACAACCACAGCAAUGCCAGAUCCUUAGCCCACGGCCUGAGGUCGGGGAUUAAACCUGCAUCCUCACGGACACUAUGUCAGGUUCUUACCCUACUGAGCCACAAGAGGAACUCCAAGUGAGCACAGAAUUUGAUCCUCCAAACUGAGACUCUUCUGAGAGUGAAAGGGGACACUAGCCAGACAGGCGGGACGCCAAGACAAGAGAAAACGGGGCCUGUUCCAUGCAGGGAGUCAGCCUAGUGAUGCCUCUGGUUAGUACCGGGUAUGUGGGACUUAAAUGUCAUUCGAAAUGUCUUCAGACAGACUGCACCAUGGUAGCAUAGAGGCUUAAAAAGCCAUGGCCACAAAAAGCCGAGAAAUGGCAGCAAAAUGUAAAUUUGACAUUAGUCGAACAAAUAUUCAUUUUUGGAGUAAUGGCCACAGUUCCACGUUUUUCUUACAAAGCAAAAUCCUGAAGUCCAUGAGACUCAAGUAAAGCAGAUACGUAAAGUCCAUAGAGCAGUAUUACUUUUUUUUGGUGGAAAAUCUGCAAAAGCAUCUAACUUGCAGCGGUUCGUUCAAGUGUUUAGCAGGUCCCCUGUGCUGGGCCCAGCGGUGUGCUCAGGCCCAGCCAUAGGCACAGCUCCCGCCAGAAAGCGAGACUCCCCCACGGGGCUUACUGACUCUCGCACCUAAUACACAUGAAGCAAAAUCCCUACCUGAAUAAAAUCUGCUGAGUCUUCCUCUCGUACAAUCUUUACAUCAACUGUCACAUUCAGGAACCUCAAUAUACAGGAAGCAGGAUUAUGCCGACGUGGCAUCCUUGCUCUCAGGGAUCACAGGUAGGAAGAGGGUUUAUUUCCGUCCCUUCCAUCACUGUUUCUUCCCCCUCAUAUGCCAUAGUCCACAGUCGAUGAACUUAGGGGUCACCUCUUUCACCAAAGGAAGAGGUUGGGGAGUCGGGCAUGUGAGGGACAGGCCUUCGCCUUCAGCACCACCGAACCAGCCUGCUCAGCAUGUCCCCAGUUCCUAUACCCCUCCUCCAGUGCAUUCUGGGAGUGGGCUCAGGGAAUUGACCGGUUUCUGUUAUGUCAAAUGCAGAGUCCCAGACCCUCUUUGUCCCCUGCGCACUGCUCAGCAAAUGAACCCGUCCACCCCCUGCGCCAGAGAUGCUGUCAGCAACCCCACUGCGUCCUGGGCAGUCCAGUGGGCAUCUCCAAGUGGUGUCACCUGAGCCAUAAAGUAACUGCCUCCCCAAAGGCUUCCUUAGGCAUGGGCUCUCCCAUCUGGCCCCCGCCGCCAGCCAAGGGCCACCUCCCCUGGCGCAUGUCCUGCUGCCACAAGCAAAGCUGCUCCCUAGGGUGGAACUUGCAGACCUCUGAUGUCUGUAAUUCCAGGGGGCUGCCGUGCCAAACUCAAGAGUAGGAUGGAUUUCAUCGUGAGGCGGGGGUGACUACUCUGACCUGGCAGGUCUGGGUCUGCAUUUUCCCUGUGCAGACUGACGACUACAGGCUGCUGACCCCCAGUGUCCCUUCCAGUGGGAACACCCUGCCAUCCACAUUUGACUCCCAAACCGAUCUUCCUUGGACCCAGGGCCAGGGGUAUUUGCAACACAGUUGUUUUCAGAUUUGAAGGAGAGCUUGCUUGUGGCCAGAAACUGACUGCAUGGAGAAGGACUGGAUAAGUGGCCAGGUCACCACUCCAAACCCCAAGUGCUGGGGAGGGCGCCAGGGGCACGGAGCCCCCUGCACCCCCAUGUCCUGGCAGAGGAAGCACUGACCCCCCCACCCCACCGAAUCCCCCUCUUCCGCUGUGCCCUUUGCACCCCUCCCAUUAGGACAGUCAAUCCCCUCCCAUUUGGGAACCCCCUUUUCAUUCUCUCCCCAGCCCCUCCUGGCACCCAGGCACCUGCACAGGAGUGCGCCCUCCUCUCUUGGCUAAUGACAAUUUAGCUGGCUUAGAGUGGCCGUGCCAGCACCUUCCCUGCCCUUCCUGUGCCUCAGAUCUUUUCUCAAGCCUUCCUCACCCUCCCAGGGCAACUCUGGGGGCCAGGGCCCUGCUCUGCUCGUCAGAACCGCUGUACUCCCACCCCUGCAACGAAGCAUGAAGCUGACAGACAGGGCAGACCCAGAAACGAGUCUGUACCCCAGAGUGGACACAGCCGCCCCCCAAAGG
ensembl:lncRNA